rnacentral:rRNA from 1 species
GCAGUCGAGCGGAUUGAUGGGAGCUUGCUCCCUGAGUUAGCGGCGGACGGGUGAGUAACACGUGGGUAACCUGCCUGUAAGACUGGGAUAACUCCGGGAAACCGGGGCUAAUACCGGAUAGUUCUUUUCCUCGCAUGAGGAAAAGUGGAAAGGCGGCUUCGGCUGCCACUUACAGAUGGACCCGCGGCGCAUUAGCUAGUUGGUGAGGUAACGGCUCACCAAGGCAACGAUGCGUAGCCGACCUGAGAGGGUGAUCGGCCACACUGGGACUGAGACACGGCCCAGACUCCUACGGGAGGCAGCAGUAGGGAAUCUUCCGCAAUGGACGAAAGUCUGACGGAGCAACGCCGCGUGAGUGAUGAAGGUUUUCGGAUCGUAAAGCUCUGUUGUUAGGGAAGAACAAGUGCCGUUCGAAUAGGGCGGCACCUUGACGGUGCCUAACCAGAAAGCCACGGCUAACUACGUGCCAGCAGCCGCGGUAAUACGUAUGUGGCAAGCGUUGUCCGGAAUUAUUGGGCGUAAAGCGCGCGCAGGCGGUCUCUUAAGUCUGAUGUGAAAGCCCACGGCUCAACCGUGGAGGGUCAU